UUCAGACUUUUAAAUUAUAAACUUAUUUUUUAUUAUCUUGGUUCAUUAGCCACCUUUUCCAUCUUUCUUUAGACUCAGUUUUCCUUCUUUUUCCUCUGCCUUCUUUUUAACCCUCACACUCACUAACUCAGUGCAUGUCUGUUUAGAUGGUGACUAAGUGUCCGCAGCGGAGAGGGCUUUGUUUUGAACCGAUUAUUUCUUUCAUUUGGACCGGGUAUUAUGCAUUUUGCUGAGAGAGGUUCUGUGGAGUUGAUUGUUGUACUGUGAGAACCCUAGAUGUCGAGGAGGUUCCCCUGGAACAGGCAUUGGAGGAAGAUGACGUUGAACCAUAGUUUCAUUAGGAUUUCCUUAUUUUAACUUAUGUAUUUUGAAAAACUUUAAUAUGUAGAACCCAUGAUAUGUUGGAAGACUUAGUACUUCAAGCUUUGACUUUUAUAACUUGAUGACGUCUUUAUUAUAUAUGCACGCCGCU